UAAAUACUCCCUCCGUCCGAAAAUACUUAUCAUCAAAAUGGAUAAAAAGAGAUGUAUCUAUAACUAAAAUAUGUCUAGAUACAUUUCCUUUUAUCCAUUUUGAUGACAAGUAUUUCCAGACGGAGGGAGUACUUG
rnacentral:pre_miRNA from 1 species